rnacentral:rRNA from 1 species
UACGGAGGGUGCAAGCGUUAUCCGGAUUUACUGGGUUUAAAGGGUGUGUAGGCGGGCCAUUAAGUCAGGGGUGAAAUCCCGGAGCUCAACUCCGGAACUGCCUUUGAUACUAUUGGUCUUGAAUAUUGUUGAGGUGGGCGGAACGGGUCGUGUAGCGGUGAAAUGCAUAGAUAUGACCCGGAACACCGAUUGCGAAGGCAGCCCGCUAAGCAAUGAUUGACGCUGAGGCACGAAAGCGUGGGGAUCAAACAGG